rnacentral:rRNA from 1 species
AGAGUUUGAUCAUGGCUCAGGAUGAACGCUAGCUACAGGCUUAACACAUGCAAGUCGAGGGGCAGCAUGGGAGUUGCUUGCAAUUCCUGAUGGCGACCGGCGCACGGGUGAGUAACGCGUAUCCAACCUUCCCCUUAGUAGGGCAUAGCCCGGUGAAAAUCGGAUUAACACCCUAUGUUCUUCACAGCAGACAUCUAACGUGAAGCAAAGGUUCACCGCUAAGGGAUGGGGAUGCGUCUGAUUAGGUAGUAGGCGGGGUAACGGCCCACCUAGCCUUCGAUCAGUAGGGGUUCUGAGAGGAAGGUCCCCCACAUUGGAACUGAGACACGGUCCAAACUCCUACGGGAGGCAGCAGUGAGGAAUAUUGGUCAAUGGGCGAGAGCCUGAACCAGCCAAGUAGCCGUGCAGGAUGACGGCCCUAUGGGUUGUAAACUGCUUUUAUAUGGGGAUAAAGUUCACCACGUGUGGUGUUUUGUAGGUACCAUAUGAAUAAGGACCGGCUAAUUCCGUGCCAGCCGCCGC